rnacentral:rRNA from 1 species
CUCAACCUCGGAAUGGCUCUCGAUACUGCCAGGCUUGAGUUCGCGAGAGGCGAGUGGAAUUCCAGGUGUAGCGGUGAAAUGCUUAGAUAUCUGGAGGAACACCGGUGGCGAAAGCGGCUCGCUGGCGCGAAACUGACGCUGAGACUCGAAAGCGUGGGGAGCGAACGGGAUUAGAUACCCCGGUAGUCCACGCUGUAAACGUUGUGCACUAGGUGUGGGAGGUAUCGACCCCUUCCGUGCCGGAGCUAACGCGUUAAGUGCACCGCCUGGGGAGUACGGCCGCAAGGCUGAAACUCAAAGGAAUUGACGGGGGCCCGCACAAGCGGUGGAGCAUGUGGUUUAAUUCGAGGCAACGCGAAGAACCUUACCCAGGCUUGACAUCCCCGGACCGCCCUGGAAACAGGGUUUUCCCUUCGGGGACCG